GACGAACGCUGGCGGCGUGCUUAACACAUGCAAGUCGAGCGAACGGGCGAGAUGCUUGUUUCUCUGUUGGGAGCGGCGGACGGCGGAGGAAUAAGUGGAUAGUCUACCUAUAAGACCGGGAUAACUUCGGGAAACCGGAGCUACUACCAGAUAAUAUUUUGAACCGCAGGGUUGAAAAGUGAAAGACGGACUUUCUUUCAGUUGUAGAUGGAUCCGCGCCGCAUUAGCUAGUUGGUAGGGUGACGGCUUACCAAGGCAACGACGCAUAGCCGGCCUGAGAGGGUGGUCGGCGGCACUGGAGCUGAGGAGCGGUCCACACUCCUACGGGAGGCGGCAGUAGGGAAUCUUCCGCAAUGGGCGAAGGCCGGACGGCGCAGCGCCGCGUGGGGAGUGAAGGUCUUCGGCUCGUAGAGCUCUGUUUUUGGGGGAGAACAAAGGUGUAAGUGGCUGUGCAGGUCUUGACGGUAGCUGGUCAAAAAGCCACGGCUAACUACGUG
rnacentral:rRNA from 1 species